UUACGUGUGUUUCAGCACAUCAUUAAUUAAAUUAAUCUGUCAAUCUCACCCAUCAAAGUCAGUGGGCGGAACCACUGACGUAAACGGGCGGGACUAGUGCCAAUCUGGUGUUAUCGACUGCUUUGGUCUGAAGCGUAACACCUCCUACAUGGCAUGAAUGGAUCAAGGAGGAAAGCUGCUUCUAUUCGAAAUAUGAUGGAAAAAAAGGGUUGUGAGUGAUUGGGACUGUAGCACUGUCAACAUUUCAAGUGAAAGGCUUAGAGUUUUAUCUUUAGGAAAAUGUAUUCGUGAAAUUAGCUUCUUGGCCAUGAAGUUUUAAAAGGAGUGGAUGCAUGUUGUCGAGAUACGUUGAGGAUGACAGCUGCCUCCAAGUUCUUCUUGGCUUCCUCGUUGAGGAUGACAGCUGCCUCCAAGUUCUUCUUGGCUUCCUCGCGGCCUAUCCACUAUAAGGGCUCCGGGAACCAAAUCUCCUUCAUCAUCGUGUUAGUUGUUUGACACACUUUCUCACAGAAAUAAAAAGGGGAUACUGUGACCAAACCGGCCUACUGAUGUCCAUACAGUAGCCCUACACAAGACCAUGUCUGUCACAUUGGUGCCAUGACCGAGUUGGACCUUCGCCCAACCGGGAUCAUUCUGGACAUCAUCUGCGUUGUGAUAAUCAUCAAAGCCUGACUGCCCACAACACCUGGAUCAGAGAGCCAGUCCAAUGAAAUCUGUCAAGAAAACCGCAGAUAAACAAGGCCUGUAUCAUCAUUGUAGUCUAGUACUACACUUUUAUUAUACACGAAGACAGAACAUGAGAUGCUUGUAUCAUUGCAAAAAAAAAAAAAAACUAACUAUACAAUCAGUCAUGCAC